rnacentral:snRNA from 1 species
CCAAAAGCCCAAACAGUUUAA